AGUCAAAUCUAAACGAUCGUGUAUCAAGUAAUCUUGAAAAGAAAUCGUUUAGAUUUGGCUAC
rnacentral:pre_miRNA from 1 species